rnacentral:rRNA from 1 species
CCAACGGGUGGCAGCAGUGGGGAAUAUUGGGCAAUGGGCGAAAGCCUGACCCAGCAACGCCGCGUGAGGGAAGAAGGCCUUCGGGUUGUAAACCUCUGUCUUUGGUGACGAAACAAAUGACGGUAGCCAAAGAGGAAGCCCCGGCUAACUACGUGCCAGCAGCCGCGGUAAUACGUAGGGGGCGAGCGUUGUCCGGAAUUACUGGGCGUAAAGGGUGCGUAGGUGGCCUUUUAAUUUGGAUGUGAAAUCCCCGGGCUUAACUUGGGUGGUGCAUCUAAUACUGGAGGGCUAGAGUGCAGGAGAGGGAAGCGGAAUUCCUAGUGUAGCGGUGAAAUGCGUAGAUAUUAGGAGGAACACCAGUGGCGAAGGCGGCUUUCUGGACUGUAACUGACACUGAGGCACGAAAGCGUGGGGAGCAAACA